ACGCGGCGAAAGUCGCGCUAAUACCGCAUACGCCCUGAGGGGGAAAGCGGGGGAUUCUUCGGAACCUCGCGCAAUUGGAGCGGCCGAUGUCAGAUUAGCUAGUUGGUAGGGUAAAGGCCUACCAAGGCGACGAUCUGUAGCGGGUCUGAGAGGAUGAUCCGCCACACUGGGACUGAGACACGGCCCAGACUCCUACGGGAGGCAGCAGUGGGGAAUUUUGGACAAUGGGGGCAACCCUGAUCCAGCCAUGCCGCGUGAGUGAAGAAGGCCUUCGGGUUGUAAAGCUCUUUCGGCCGGGAAGAAAUCGGCGACUCUAACAUAGUCGCUGGAUGACGGUACCGGACUAAGAAGCACCGGCUAACUACGUGCCAGCAGCCGCGGUAAUACGUAGGGUGCGAGCGUUAAUCGGAAUUACUGGGCGUAAAGCGUGCGCAGGCGGUUUUGUAAGACAGAUGUGAAAUCCCCGGGCUUAACCUGGGAACUGCGUUUGUGACUGCAAGGCUAGAGUAC
rnacentral:rRNA from 1 species